GAUGAAGAACGUAGCGAAAUGCGAUAAGUAAUGUGAAUUGCAGAAUUCAGUGAAUCAUCGAAUCUUUGAACGCACAUUGCGCCCGCUAGUAUUCUGGCGGGCAUGCCUGUCCGAGCGUCAUUUCAACCCUCAAGCCCCCGGGCUUGGUGUUGGGGAUCGGCGAGCCUCCGCGCCCGCCGUCCCCUAAAUCUAGUGGCGGUCUCGCUGUAGCUUCCUCUGCGUAGUAGCACACCUCGCACUGGGAAACAGCGCGGCCACGCCGUUAAACCCCCAACUUCUGAACGUUUGACCUCGGAUCAGGUAGGAAUACCCGCUGAACUUAAGCAUAUCAAUAAGGAGGA
rnacentral:misc_RNA from 1 species